AACUUUAUAGUUUAUAGAAAAAAAAUAUUUAAUUUGCAUUUAAAUGAAAAAUUUUAUUUUAGAGUUA
rnacentral:tRNA from 1 species